rnacentral:rRNA from 1 species
UACGAAGGGUGCAAGCGUUACUCGGAAUUACUGGGCGUAAGGGUGCGUUGGCGGUUGUUUAAGUCUGUCGUGAAAUCCCCGGGCUCAACCUGGGAAUGGCGAUGGAUACUGGGCAGCUAGAGUGUGUCAGAGGAUGGUGGAAUUCCCGGUGUAGCGGUGAAAUGCGUAGAGAUCGGGAGGAACAUCAGUGGCGAAGGCGGCCAUCUGGGACAACACUGACGCUGAAGCACGAAAGCGUGGGGAGCAAACAGG